CAGCGUGGCAGUCGUGUUGUUGCCUACCCUUACCACCUGGGGGCGACCCGUUAGGAAGUCCAGGUCACAUUUAGAUGUUGCAGUUCAAUGAAAGCGUUGUCAUCUUUAUAGUCGUACAAACUCUUGUUUCUGACAGCUGUCUGACACGGAACCGUAAACAAAACUCACAAACUACACCUGAACACUACAAAAUAAAGCAAAACAUACUCAAUUCAACAUAUUUAAUCCCCCACAUCCAUAUCCCCCUCAAACAGUGCAAGAUUUAGAUUAAUACCCCAAAUAGGACUUUUUUUUAGGCCCAUUCAGGAGAAAGGGCCACACUUCAACGAGGCUGUGUAGUUCCAGUCAGAGACAUAUAUUUAUACAUAUAUUUAUAUGUGACUCUGGCUCCAGUCAUUUAGGCCUUGGUUGUCGUGGAUACAACAACAAACCAUUUUGUAAAAUCCACUGCCAGACAGCCACCACAUUCUCCUGGUCAAAAAAAGAUGCAGAACUGGACGGACAAAUUUGUACACAAGGCAGCUAUACUCUUCUAAGUCCCUAGACAGGUGUUUGUACGAUGUUUUAGUUUUUGCAGUGUGAGAUGUAGUCAUUGUAGAAGAAGCAGAGAUGCCUAUAUCUUCUGGAGCUGCAGGCAGAGUAUAUGUGGGGAUAGAUAUAUCCAUAGCAUGGGCACCAGAUGGCGUGAAGAAAGAGGCAAAACCUGUCAAGAACUGUGAUUCCUAUCUGAGAAGAAUGCCAAUCAACACCUUGCUGGUCCAGAUGGAGAGAACAUGGACACGUCGUCACCAGGUGUGAGUAGGGAUCCUAACACACAACAGAGGAACGGAGGCAGUGAUGGUGACAGCAACAUCACAGGAAAAGAACCCAAGGAAGAGAGCUUGAAACAAUCUAAAACAUGUACCCUUCUUUAGAGUCAUAAACCUAUGAAUGGACUUCACAUACUUGGUGCAUUGAUGCUGAACACCAUCAUGUUUUACUUAAAGUGCCAUAUAAUCACAUUGUAGUCUUUAUGAUCACCAAGUUCUCUUCCUUGCCUGUUAUUGUGAUGAAUCAUAAAAACUGCAUGGGAAUAGGGAGAAUAUCUUUCAUUUGGGAAUGACUGUGUCACUGCAAUCAAUGCCUAUCACUUUGUCUAUUGAACAA